rnacentral:rRNA from 1 species
AACGAACGCUGGCGGCAUGCCUAACACAUGCAAGUCGAACGAGACCUUCGGGUCUAGUGGCGCACGGGUGCGUAACGCGUGGGAACCUGCCCUUAGGUUCGGAAUAACUCCCCGAAAGGGGUGCUAAUACCGGAUAAUGUCUUCGGACCAAAGAUUUAUCGCCUUUGGAUGGGCCCGCGUUGGAUUAGCUAGUUGGUAGGGUAAAAGCCUACCAAGGCGACGAUCCAUAGCUGGUCUGAGAGGAUGAUCAGCCACACUGGGACUGAGACACGGCCCAGACUAGAGGGGGGGGCAGAUGGGGGGUGGAGUCGGGCGGGGACGAACGCCGGAAGGGGCAAUGGCGCGUGGGUGAGGAAGGCCGUAGUGUUGUAACGCACUGUCCGUGGGAAGGAUAAGGGCCUUAGAGGGGGAAAACGCUCCGCCCCCCGCGGUGCCGGCAGUGGCGGAAAGGAUCGGGGCGCGACGUCUCAGC